rnacentral:rRNA from 1 species
GACGAACGCUGGCGGCGUGCUUAACACAUGCAAGUGGAGCGACGAACCGGGCUUCGGCCCGGGGCAGAGCCGCGAACGGGUGAGUAACACGUGGGUAAUCUACCCCGAUGACCGGGACAACCCGAGGAAACUCGGGCUAAUACCGGAUGUGAUCUGGAGCCAUGAGGCUUACGAUCAAAGGUAGCUUCGGCCUCCGCAUCGGGACGAGCCCGCGGCCCAUUAGCUUGUUGGUGGGGUAACGGCCUACCAAGGCGACGAUGGGUAGCUGGUCUGAGAGGACGAUCAGCCACACUGGGACUGAGACACGGCCCAGACUCCUACGGGAGGCAGCAGUGGGGAAUCUUGCGCAAUGCGCGAAAGCGUGACGCAGCAACGCCGCGUGGGGGAAGAAGGCCUUCGGGUUGUAAACCCCUUUCAGUUGGGACGAAGCUUCGCCGGUGAACAGCCGGCUGGAGUGACGGUACCUUCACAAGAAGCCCCGGCUAACUACGUGCCAGCCGCCGCCGUAAGAC